ensembl:lncRNA
UGAUGAUGAUACAUGAUGAUAGGUGAUGAUAGAUGAUGAUGAUAGGUGAUGAUGAUAGAUAGAUAAUAGAUGAUGAUGAUACAUGAUGAUAGGUGAUGAUGAUACAUGAUGAUAGGUGAUGAUAGAUGAUGAUAGGUGAUGAUAGGUGGUGAUGAUAGGUGAUGAUAGAUGAUGAUGAUAGGUGAUGAUGACAGGGGGUGAUAGGUGAUGAUGAUACAUGAUGAUAGGUGAUGAUAUAUGAUGGUAGGUGGUGAUGAUACAUGAUGUCAGAUGAUGAUAGGUGAUGAUAGGUGGUGAUGAUAGGUGAUGAUAGAC